rnacentral:rRNA from 1 species
GAGACUAACAGGAUUCCUUUAGUAAUGGCGAAUGAAGAAGGAUAAGCUCAACAUGAAAAUUGGGGCUUCUGGCCUUGAAUUGUAGUUUGAAGAUGCAUUUGCCAAUGGACAUGAUAAUGAAAGCCUUUUGGGAAAAAGCAUCAACGAGGGUGAGAAUCCUUCUUGACAUUUCAAUUGUCCAUGCACGGUGUGCAUUGAAGAUUCACGUUCCUUGGGAUUUGAACGCAAACUUGUUGGUAAAUUUCAUUUAAAGCUAAAUAUUGGUUUGAGACCGAUAGAAAACAAGUACCAUGAGGGAAAAGUGAAAAGGACUUUGAAAAGAAAGUUAAAAGUGCUUGAAAUUGCUGAAGAGGAAGCGGGUGUAUUUUGAACACAAUUUUCAAGAUUGUUGUGCAUAUCUUUGAUACCUUGUUGUCUUGAUUUAAUUGCAGCGAUAAGUUUUAUUUGUGAAUGUACAAUGUUGCUUGUGUUUUGUGCCUUCAUCGAUCCACAGCUAUAGAAACAACCUUAACAUGGCAAUUUGCUCUUGUGCAAAUGAAUGUUUGGGUUCAGAUUUAGCUUGUGAAUCGUCCUUCUUCUUGUUGUGUUGCUCAUUUGCUCACAACACGAAAAUGAUGGCCAAAGAAAUACAUUCGGCCCGUCUUGAAACACGGACCAAGGAGUUUAACACAUGUGCAAGUUUGGUGUGUGAUGCUUCUUUGCGCAAUGAAAAUGAUAUUUGGUAUAUUCUUGCACCAAUAACCAACCGCUCAAUUGUGAGAGGUUUGAGUAUGAGCAUAUUUGUUAAGACCCGAAAGAUGGUGAACUAUGCCUGGGAAGGGUAAAUUCAGGGGAAACUCUGAUGGAGGCUCGUAGCGAUACUGACGUGCAAAUCGUUCGUCAUACUUGGGUAUAGGGGCGAAAGACUAAUCGAACCAUCUAGUAGCUGGUUCCUUCUGAAGUUUCCCUCAGGAUAGCUGGAAUUACACAGUUUCAUCAAGUAAAGCGAAUGAUUAGAGGAAUUGGGGGCGUGUUGUCCUUGACCUAUUCUCAAACUUUAAAUGGGUAAGCUCUAAUAGUUACUUUCUCACACUUUUGGGAAGAAUGACAAUUCUAAGUGGGCCAUUUUUGGUAAGCAGAACUGGCGAUGAGGGAUGAACCUAACAUUGGGUUAAGGUGCUCAACUGCUCGCUCAUCAGAUACCAUAAAGGGUGUUGGUUCAUUUUAACAGCAGGACGGUGGUCAUGGAAGUCGAAAUCCGCUAAGGAGUGUGUAACAACUCACCUGCCGAAUGGACUAGCCCCGAAAAUGGAUGGCGCUCCAGCGUGUGACCAAUUCCCAAUCAUUGGUGCAAGCAAACCAAUGAGUAGGAGGGUGUGGGGUUUUGUGGUGAAGCCUUGGGUGUAAGC